rnacentral:rRNA from 1 species
AGAGUUUGAUCCUGGCUCAGGAUGAACGCUGACAGAAUGCUUAACACAUGCAAGUCAACUUGAAUUUGGGUUUUUAACUUAGAUUUGGGUGGCGGACGGGUGAGUAACGCGUAAAGAACUUGCCUCACAGCUAGGGACAACAUUUAGAAAUGAAUGCUAAUACCUGAUAUUAUGAUUUUAAGGCAUCUUAGAAUUAUGAAAGCUAUAAGCACUGUGAGAGAGCUUUGCGUCCCAUUAGCUAGUUGGAGAGGUAACAGCUCACCAAGGCGAUGAUGGGUAGCCGGCCUGAGAGGGUGAACGGCCACAAGGGGACUGAGACACGGCCCUUACUCCUACGGGAGGCAGCAGUGGGGAAUAUUGGACAAUGGACCGAGAGUCUGAUCCAGCAAUUCUGUGUGCACGAUGAAGUUUUUCGGAAUGUAAAGUGCUUUCAGUUGGGAAGAAAAAAAUGACGGUACCAACAGAAGAAGUGACGGCUAAAUACGUGCCAGCAGCCGCGGUAAUACGUAUGUCACGAGCGUUAUCCGGAUUUAUUGGGCGUAAAGCGCGUCUAGGUGGUUAUGUAAGUCUGAUGUGAAAAUGCAGGGCUCAACUCUGUAUUGCGUUGGAAACUGUAUAACUAGAGUACUGGAGAGGUAAGCGGAACUACAAGUGUAGAGGUGAAAUUCGUAGAUAUUUGUAGGAAUGCCGAUGGGGAAGCCAGCUUACUGGACAGAUACUGACGCUAAAGCGCGAAAGCGUGGGUAGCAAACAGGAUUAGAUACCCUGGUAGUCCACGCUGUAAACG